rnacentral:rRNA from 2 species
GUGACCUCAAAUCAGGUAGGACUACCCGCUGAACUUAAGCAUAUCAAUAAGCGGAGGAAAAGAAACUAACAAGGAUUCCCCUAGUAACUGCGAGUGAAGCGGGAAAAGCUCAAAUUUAAAAUCUGGCAGUCUUUGGCUGUCCGAGUUGUAAUCUAGAGAAGUGUUAUCCGCGCUGGACCGUGUACAAGUCUCCUGGAAUGGAGCGUCAUAGAGGGUGAGAAUCCCGUCUUUGACACGGACUACCAGGGCUUUGUGAUGCGCUCUCAAAGAGUCGAGUUGUUUGGGAAUGCAGCUCAAAAUGGGUGGUAAAUUCCAUCUAAAGCUAAAUAUUGGCGAGAGACCGAUAGCGAACAAGUACCGUGAGGGAAAGAUGAAAAGAACUUUGGAAAGAGAGUUAAACAGUACGUGAAAUUGCUGAAAGGGAAACGCUUGAAGUCAGUCGCGUCGUCCAGGGAUCAACCUUGCUUUUGCUUGGUGCACUUUCUGGUUGACGGGUCAGCAUCAAUUUUGACCAUUGGAAAAAGAUUAAGGGAAUGUGACAUCUUUGGAUGUGUUAUAGCCCUUGGUUGCAUACGAUGGUUGGGAUUGAGGAACUCAGCACGCCGCAAGGCCGGGUUUUUAACCACGUACGUGCUUAGGAUGCUGGCAUAAUGGCUUUAAUCGACCCG